AGUGAACGCUGGCGGUAGGCCUAACACAUGCAAGUCGAACGGCAGCACAGUAAGAGCUUGCUCUUACGGGUGGCGAGUGGCGGACGGGUGAGGAAUACAUCGGAAUCUACUUUUUCGUGGGGGAUAACGUAGGGAAACUUACGCUAAUACCGCAUACGACCUACGGGUGAAAGCAGGGGAUCUUCGGACCUUGCGCGAUUCAAUGAGCCGAUGUCGGAUUAGCUAGUUGGCGGGGUAAAGGCCCACCAAGGCGACGAUCCGUAGCCGGUCUGAGAGGAUGAUCAGCCACACUGGAACUGAGACACGGUGCAGACUCCUACGGGAGGCAGCAGUGGGGAAUAUUGGACAAUGGGCGGAAGCGUGAUCCAGCCAUACCGCGUGAGUGAAGAAGGCCUUCGGGUUGUAUAGCCAUUUUGUUGGGAAAGAAAAGCAGCAGGUUAAUACCCCGCUGUUCUGACGGUACCCAAAGAAUAAGCACCGGCUAACUUCGUG
rnacentral:rRNA from 1 species